UACGUAGGGUGCAAGCGUUGUCCGGAAUUAUUGGGCGUAAAGAGCUCGUAGGCGGUCUGUUGCGUCGGCUGUGAAAACCCGAGGCUCAACCUCGGGCCUGCAGCCGAUACGGGCAGACUAGAGUUCGGCAGGGGAGAACGGAAUUCCUGGUGUAGCGGUGAAAUGCGCAGAUAUCAGGAGGAACACCGGUGGCGAAGGCGGCCAACUGGACGAAUACUGACGCUGAGACUCGAAAGCGUGGGGAGCAAACAGGA
rnacentral:rRNA from 1 species